GACGAACGCUGGCGGCGUGCUUAACACAUGCAAGUCGAACGGAAAGGCCCUGCUUGCAGGGUACUCGAGUGGCGAACAGGUGAGUAACACGUGGGUGAUCUGCCCUGCACUUCGGGAUAAGCCUGGGAAACUGGGUCUAAUACCGGAUAGGAGCCAUUUUUAGUGUGAUGGUUGGAAAGUUUUUUCGGUGUAGGAUGAGCUCGCGGCCUAUCAGCUUGUUGGUGGGGUAAUGGCCUACCAAGGCGGCGACGGGUAGCCGGCCUGAGAGGGUGGACGGCCACAUUGGGACUGAGAUACGGCCCAGACUCCUACGGGAGGCAGCAGUGGGGAAUAUUGCACAAUGGGCGCAAGCCUGAUGCAGCGACGCCGCGUGGGGGAUGACGGCCUUCGGGUUGUAAACUCCUUUCGCUAGGGACGAAGCUUUUUGUGACGGUACCUAGAUAAGAAGCACCGGCUAACUACGUG
rnacentral:rRNA from 1 species